UAUAGCUCUACCCUAAAGAAGAAGCAUGUCUACUUGAGGUUCUGAGAAUCCUCUCCUGGUGCCAGAAAAAGGAAGGGGAGAGCAUUUUUGGAAUGAAAUGAGGGAGCCCUGAAUCCUUUGGAUUUCUCAAAAAAUGGUUCUAGACCACCUUCCUAUGUUUGAGGAAAUCCCUACCCUAUGGGUUUUGGGAAAGAACAGAGCCUACCUUCUAGCAUGGAAGCUGAAGAUGGAAGAUACGCGUUUUCCAAGCCUUGCUUGCAGGUUAUGUCAAAGUUAUGACAGCUUUUCCAGCCUGCCAAUGGAUUCAGCGGCAGAGGGACUGGCAAUCUGGUUCUCAAAGUCAUCUGUCCACAUGAGAUCCUCAGAGACAUCCAUCAUGCCACCUGGUCCUUAGUUA